ensembl:lncRNA
CAGCAGUCUACAAUAACGGAGGCAAAAAGCACAGGUUCCCUGCUGCAAUCUCUGCCUCUGCUGAAAGGGGAGGAUGUUGGGUCGGGGGCAAUGACAAACUCCUGUUAGAGCUCUCCUGUCAAAGCAUUUAUUCUGCCAUAACAGAGCAACUUCCCAGCUACAGGAGCCGAGGCCCGCUCAGGAUCAACAGCACGGGAAUGCGGGAGAGCAGGAGGAAGAGGAGAGGGCCAGAAGGAAGAAAGGGGUAUUGAGAAAGGAUUCACGGAACACAGAAAGCAGCUCUGGCUGCCGUA